rnacentral:rRNA from 1 species
UGCGUAGGCGAUUACUUAAGUAGGGUGUGAAAUGUCCCGGCUCAACCGGGGAAUGGCGCUCUAAACUGGGUGGCUUGAGUGAGAUAGAGGUGUGCGGAACUUCCGGUGGAGCGGUGAAAUGUGUUGAUAUCGGAGGGAACACCAUUGGCGAAAGCGGCACACUGGGUCUCAACUGACGCUGAGGCACGAAAGCCAGGGGAGCAAACG